UGCGCGGUAGGGGAGUUCGGCCGUCCCCGCGGGUCUCAUAAGCCUGAAAUCGUGGGUUCGAAUCCCACCUGCGCAA
rnacentral:tRNA from 2 species